rnacentral:piRNA from 1 species
UCCCUAAGGUAUCGAGAAGUGGUGGAUGA